CAGAUCGUCGCUCACAGGCAUGGCAGAACUCUUCCCACGAACCUCAGAGAGAUGCUCACAUUUUACUGUAAGAACUUUCUGCUGAGAAUCAAGCUUCACAGUAACAUCAGAAUAACGUAUAGCCAAAACACGGCAAAGGUAACCCUUCAAAGGUCCUACACGGAUUCUCAAGGUCUGACCAAUGGAGAACAUUCCAUCCUUAUCCCCUCUGUUGAACUCCCGACUAUUUUCCUUUGUUUGCCAUGGUUUUUUAGGUGAUAGAGGAGGAGAUUUGGGGGAUGAUGGGAAAUCUUCAAAGCCUACUGGGCCCGAUUCACCACCCUUUUCACUGGAAGCAUCAAAAGAAAGCUUGAUUUUCUCGCACAUUUGAGCUUUAGAACAGAAAUAACCACCAUUG
rnacentral:misc_RNA from 1 species